ACCUGCGGAAGGAUCAUUACAGUAUUCUUUUUGCCAGCGCUUAAUUGCGCGGCGAAAAAACCUUACACACAGUGUUUUUUGUUAUUACAAGAACUCUUGCUUUGGUCUGGACUAGAAAUAGUUUGGGCCAGAGGUUUACUAAACUAAACUUCAAUAUUUAUAUUGAAUUGUUAUUUAUUUUAAUUGUCAAUUUGUUGAUUAAAUUCAAAAAAUCUUCAAAACUUUCAACAACGGAUCUCUUGGUUCUCGCAUCGAUGAAGAACGCAGCGAAAUGCGAUAAGUAAUAUGAAUUGCAGAUUUUCGUGAAUCAUCGAAUCUUUGAACGCACAUUGCGCCCUUUGGUAUUCCAAAGGGCAUGCCUGUUUGAGCGUCAUUUCUCUCUCAAACCUUCGGGUUUGGUAUUGAGUGAUACUCUUAGUCGAACUAGGCGUUUGCUUGAAAUGUAUUGGCAUGAGUGGUACUGGAUAGUGCUAUAUGACUUUCAAUGUAUUAGGUUUAUCCAACUCGUUGAAUAGUUUAAUGGUAUAUUUCUCGGUAUUCUAGGCUCGGCCUUACAAUAUAACAAACAAGUUUGACCUCAAAUCAGGUAGGACUACCCGCUGAACUUAAGCAUAUCAAUAAGGCGGGAGGAA
rnacentral:rRNA from 1 species